rfam:Solanum lycopersicum cultivar Heinz 1706 chromosome 4, whole genome shotgun sequence.
UGGCUGUAGCCACAUGAAUUCAAUUUGAGGAGUUUACUGGCCGGUUGUUGUUCUGUUGUCGACAUAUCUGCUUACCGAACUUCUUACAUCU